AAAACAUAGGAAGGACCACUGUGACAGGUUUUCACUGUAUUUGUAGAUUUUCUUCUUUUACGUUUAUUUAUUUAUUUUGAGAGAGAGCAAGCGAGCGAGCGAGCAGGGGAGGGGCAGAGAGACAAAGAAUCCCAACCAAGCAGGCUCCAUCCUGUCAAUGCUUGGCCCAGCACGGGGCUCAAACCCACGAACCGCGAGAUUAUGACCUGAGCCAAAAUCAAGAGUUGGACGCUUAACCGACUGAACCACCCAGGUGCCCCAUGUACUUGUAGUUUUGAUUGACCUUCCUUCCAGUACCUUAUUGAAUUUUAGAUACUACAAUUUGAAUGUUACAUUGAAAUUUUGGGGUCUGUAGAAAAACUACUGCCUGGGAAGAAGAAUUUCCUCUGCCCUGUGGUCCUUUGAGCUGGACAUAGAAUCAGACUGACGUGAGACAGACUAACAGAGAGAAUCCAGUGUAAUAGGCCUGCAUGCAGGGAAUCCACACAGGCUGGAAAUUCCAAAGACAAUGAGGCAACGUGAAGCUUCUAUGAGCUCAGGAGAGGGGUAGCUCAGGAGAGGAUACAAAGGAGAGGAAGGCCAAUAGCAGGAAGGAGAAAGGAGAUGUCUGAAAACUAGGGUUGCUCUAUUUCGCUGCACACAGAGACAUGACAUUCCUCUACAAGCCAGAAGAGAGCUCUCCCCAGAACCAACCAUGCUGAUGCCUUUGCCCUUGGACUGCCAGCCUCCGGAAGUGAUGGAACCCUGAACUGUUAUGUUUCACCUACAAUAGUUUUUUCUCCUUCCACUGGCAACAGAAAUCAGCAGCUUAAGAGCCUUUCAAGGGCAAUUCUGUCCUACUGGGUCGUCUCGAAGUUGAAUGGAUUUCCAUGGAAGAGGGGCCUGCAGAGUUGAUAAUCGAACAAAGACCAGAGAAAAUGAAAUUCACCUGUACUGACCAAGUGGGCAAGGGAGGGCAAUCCAAUGUCAAAUAAAGGGUGUUUCCAAAGUCAA